AUUAUUAUUUUCUAUUUUUCUCUUUGUCUCCACUCUGUUUUUCAGACCAUUAUUAGAGAUGAGUAAUGAGUCCAAGAUGCUGUUGAGCAUGUCCACGAAAUGUUAGACAAAGAGGUGGCUGCCGGAACAUGUCCUACACGCAUAUUUGUUUGUGGAUUGAGCCAAGGAGGUGCUCUAGCCAUAGCAAGCGUUCUGCUCUACCCCAAGACUUUAGGUGGGUGUGUUGUUUUCAGUGGUUCAGUUCCUCUGAGCAAAUCAUUUGCUGAUAGGGCGGCACCUGAAGCCAAAAAGACACCGGUAUUGUGGUUUCAUGGGAUGGCGGACGGGGUGGUACUAUUUGAAGCCGGGCGCGCUGGGUGCGCAUUUCUCCAAGAGCUUGGCAUGGCCUGUGAAUUCAAGACUUAUCCUGCUCAUGGGCACUCACUGGUGGAUGAAGAGCUCCGGUAUUUUCGGCCAUGGACAUUCGACCAUCUAGGGAUCUGUCAAGGAACUGAUGCGGCAACACAAUCGUCGUCAUCUUGA
rnacentral:rRNA from 1 species